rnacentral:rRNA from 1 species
GACGAACGCUGGCGGCGUGCCUAAUACAUGCAAGUAGAACGCACAGUUUAUACCGUAGCUUGCUACACCAUAAACUGUGAGUUGCGAACGGGUGAGUAACGCGUAGGUAACCUGCCUGGUAGCGGGGGAUAACUAUUGGAAACGAUAGCUAAUACCGCAUAAUAUUGAUUAUUGCAUGAUAAUUGAUUGAAAGAUGCUAUUGCAUCACUACCAGAUGGACCUGCGUUGUAUUAGCUAGUAGGUGAGGUAACGGCUCACCUAGGCGACGAUACAUAGCCGACCUGAGAGGGUGAUCGGCCACACUGGGACUGAGACACGGCCCAGACUCCUACGGGAGGCAGCAGUAGGGAAUCUUCGGCAAUGGACGAAAGUCUGACCGAGCAACGCCGCGGGAGUGAAGAAGGUUGUCGGAUCGUAAAGCUCUGUUGUAAGAGAAGAACGGGUGUGAGAGUGGAAAGUUCACACUGUGACGGUAGCUUACCAGAAAGGGACGGCUAACUACGUG